UCCGUAAAAUAUUGCAGUGUUUCUAUAAACAAACUGCCAUGGCUCUCCAAGCAACUCGACAACAUCCAAUACAACAUAUAACAUUCACAAUCAUAUAUAAACAAACUGCCCAGUACCCGUCACAAUUGUCACAUUUCACAAUCAUAUAUAAAAAAAUUCACAGUCAUAUAUAAGCAAACUCCCCAGUACCAGUCACAUAUAUAGUUGGAUUCACAGUCAUAUAUAAACAAAUUCACAAUCAUAUAUAACAUAUUCACAAUACUAGUCACAAUAUCACAAUUGCACAUUCACAAUCAUAUAUAAACAAUCUGCCCAGUACCAGUCACAAUGUGAACAAUUGUACAGUCACAUAUAUAAACAAAUUCAGAGUAAUAUAUAAACAAAUUCACAAUCAUAUAAAAAGAAACUGCCGAAUACCAGUCACAAAUUUACAAUUGCACAUUCACAAUCAUAUAUAAACAAACUGCCCAAUACCACUCACAAGUGCACAAUCCUAUAACAUUCAGACAUCAUCUUUUGCGACAGU
rnacentral:lncRNA from 1 species